CCGGUUGGCUCAUGAAGCAAGGCGAUUCCCUCAAGAAUUGGCGCCGCCGCUGGUUUGUCCUCAAGCAAGGCAAGCUCCUUUGGUUUAAGGACAACCGCGUCCUCAGCUCCUCAAUUCCUCGUGGCGUCAUUCCCGUCGGCAACUGCUUGACUGUGAAAGGUGCUGAAGACGUCCUCAAUAAGCCUUUCGCCUUUGAGCUUUCUACAAGCCAAGACACCAUGUUUUUUAUCGCCGAUUCUGAGGUGGAGAAGGAAGAGUGGAUCAAUUCGAUUGGGAGGUCCAUUGUGCAGCACUCCAGGUCUCUCACUGAUUCUGAGGUCGUUGAUUACGAUAGCAAGCGGUGAUUUUG
rnacentral:misc_RNA from 1 species